AUUGAACGCUGGCGGCAGGCCUAGCACAUGCAAGUCGAGCGGAUGAAGGGAGCUUGCUCCUGGAUUCAGCGGCGGACGGGUGAGUAAUGCCUAGGAAUCUGCCUGGUAGUGGGGGAUAACGUCCGGAAACGGGCGCUAAUACCGCAUACGUCCUGAGGGAGAAAGUGGGGGAUCUUCGGACCUCACGCUAUCAGAUGAGCCUAGGUCGGAUUAGCUAGUUGGUGGGGUAAAGGCCUACCAAGGCGACGAUCCGUAGCUGGUCUGAGAGGAUGAUCAGUCACACUGGAACUGAGACACGGUCCAGACUCCUACGGGAGGCAGCAGUGGGGAAUAUUGGACAAUGGGCGAAAGCCUGAUCCAGCCAUGCCGCGUGUGUGAAGAAGGUCUUCGGAUUGUAAAGCACUUUAAGUUGGGAGGAAGGGCAGUAAGUUAAUACCUUGCUGUUUUGACGUUACCAACAGAAUAAGCACCGGCUAACUUCGUG
rnacentral:rRNA from 1 species